GAAGGGGAAAAAAGAAGACCUACUUUUGGCCAGUUUUCUCGCCCUCGCCUUGGAUCUCAUCUUGUCGGCUUGUAGAUUCCUCUCGUCGUCCUCCGUGAGCCCAGAAGCAGCAACAACACUAUCUUCAUCUCACCAGCAUUCUCCUGCCAGCACCUUCUUGGAUUUUUACCCCUUUAACAGCAACAACUUGGUUUUCUCUAACCGGCGGUGGAUACAGUGAGGACAAGCUGCGGCCAGCAGCUGUUUGACGCAUGCAUGGAGCCUCCGCCAGCAGAGACCGUACCGGGGAGAAGUCCAGGCUUCUUUUUUGUUUUUUGUUUUUUGUCUUUCCUCCAAUGUAUUCACAUUUGUAACUAUCGUAUUUUGCACAGCAGUUAUUUCUUGGAGAAGUGUUUGUGUUCGCUGUUAGCGCCACUGUGCCGCGUAAAGUCAAGCGCAGAUCACCUGAACGAAGGUGGAUAGUCUGCAGACUUUCUCUGUGUAAGACUUUUGCCUUGCACCUGUUUGUUUGUUUGCUGCAGGCAAGAGGAGACAGUCUUUACGUUAGUCUGUGCAUCCAGCAGUCUGAUGUAGCCUGAAGGACUACAGGUAAUUUUUAGAUUUUUUUUUACGAAGUAUUUAUUCAAACACAAAUAUCUAUCUAUCUAUCUAUCUAUCUAUCUAUCUAUCUAUCUAUCUAUCUAUAUAUAUAUAUAUAUAUAUAUAUAUAUAUAUAUAUAUAUAUAUAUAUAUAUAGUAUUACAAGUACAUAAUUCUGCAGCAUCAUUUUUUACUAACUUGUAUGUUAAUAUUGAAGAUGCAAUUUAGGCGAUUUGCUGUAUUUAUAUGAGGCAAAUGAGUAACAUUUUAUUAUACAAUUUAUUAAUCUUGUUGCAAACAAUUUUGCAUGACUCCAAAUUUGUGACAUACUUUAUGGCAACCAAAGUUAUUGUUAUUAGUACUAUUAUUAUUUCAUUAAAUAACAUUGCAUUGAUAAAUCAA